AGAGUUUGAUCAUGGCUCAGGAUGAACGCUAGCUACAGGCUUAACACAUGCAGGUCGAGGGGCAUCAGUUUGGUUUGCUUGCAAACCAAAGCUGGCGACCGGCGCACGGGUGAGUAACACGUAUCCAACCCGCCUCAUACUCGGGGAUAGCCUUUCGAAAGAAAGAUUAAUAUCCGAUAGCAUAUAUUUCCCGCAUGGGUUUUAUAUUAAAGAAAUUCGGUAUGAGAUGGGGAUGCGUUCCAUUAGUUGUUGGCGGGGUAACGGCCACCAAGACUACGAUGGAUAGGGGUUCUGAGAGGAAGGUCCCCCACAUUGGAACUGAGACACGGUCCAAACUCCUACGGGAGGCA
rnacentral:rRNA from 1 species